CUGAGGGAGCGGGGCGAUGGUGUCUUCAGCCGCCCGGCAGCGCCUGAGGCGGACGCUCAGCUGCCCCCGGCGCCUUGAGGGCACGACGGCAAAAGGCGACGCUCGCUUCGUGGCGGAGCCCGGCCACGGACAGGUAUUCAAGAUGAUUCAGUAGUCUCAACGAGGAUCAGCUCAGAUCCCAACAGUUAAGCGUGAUAUCGGGGGACACUGUCUUCGUACCUGGAACGCCGGAAGAACCCGCACUGCGCAGACAAGGAAAAGAACAGUUUAGGUUACAAAGCUGUUCAUUCAUCUAAUAAGGACGCUUACUGCUACACAUGGGAAAGCUGCUUCUCCUGAAUCAAAGCUUCAGCAAAGUGUGUUCCUAGAGAAGUACACCUUACAACUCAAGUAAAACAGAUGUUUCCACAGCAGUAAUUCUCAUAAUGAAAAUCCUUCUUGGAUGUAAGCAACAUGUACCUUUGAGCAUGCACUAAAGUUUCAGACCAGAAAAUAAAAAAUAACCAGAUGAAUAAACACCCACCUUCCAUAGUACGAAUACCAACAGUGCAAGCAUGAGUAUU